GACGAACGCUGGCGGCGUGCUUAACACAUGCAAGUCGAACGGAAAGGACCUGCUGUUGUGGGGUGCUCGAGUGGCGAAAGGGUGAGUAACACGGGAGUAACCUGCCCUGGACUAUGGGAUAACUUCAGGAAACUGGGGCUAAUACCGGAUAGGAGCUCCUGCUGCAUGGUGGGGGUUGACAAGUUUCGGCGGUCGGGGAUGGACUCGGGGCUGAUCAGCUUGUUGGUGGGGUAGUGGCUUACCAAGGCUUUGACGGGUAGCCGGCCUGAGAGGGUGACCGGCCACAUUGGGACUGAGCUACGGCCCAGACUACUACGGGACGCAGCAGUGGGGAAUAGUGCACAAUGGGCGGAGGCCUGCUGCAGCAACGCCGCGUGCGGGAUGACGGCCUUCGGGUUGUAACCCGCUUUCGCCUGUGACGAAGCGUGAGUGACGGUAAUGGGUAAAGAAGCACCGGCUAACUACGUG
rnacentral:rRNA from 1 species